AUUGAACGCUGGCGGCAUGCCUUACACAUGCAAGUCGAACGGUAACAGGUCUUCGGAUGCUGACGAGUGGCGAACGGGUGAGUAAUACAUCGGAACGUGCCUAGUAGUGGGGGAUAACUACUCGAAAGAGUGGCUAAUACCGCAUGAGAUCUACGGAUGAAAGCAGGGGAUCGCAAGACCUUGUGCUACUAGAGCGGCCGAUGGCAGAUUAGGUAGGUGGUGGGAUAAAAGCUUACCAGGCCGACGAUCUGUAGCUGGUCUGAGAGGACGAUCAGCCACACUGGGACUGAGACACGGCCCAGACUCCUACGGGAGGCAGCAGUGGGGAAUUUUGGACAAUGGGCGCAAGCCUGAUCCAGCAAUGCCGCGUGCAGGAUGAAGGCCUUCGGGUUGUAAACUGCUUUUGUACGGAGCGAAAAGCCCUGGGUUAAUACCCUGGGGUCAUGACGGUACCGUAAGAAUAAGCACCGGCUAACUACGUGCCAGCCGCCGCCGUAA
rnacentral:rRNA from 1 species